UCCGGCACGGCUUUCUCAGGCCUAUGCCGGAGCCUCGAGGGCUGGAGAGCGGGAAGACAGGCAGUGCUCGGGGAGUCGCAGCGUGACGUCAUCAGGAGGGUGAAGCGCCCACGGGAGGGGGGCCCCGGGACAUUGCGCAGCAAGGAGGCUGCAGGGGCUCGGCCUGCGGGCGCCGGUCCCACGAGGCACUGCGGCCCAGGGUCUGGUGCGGAGAGGGCCCACAGUGGACUUGGUGACGCUGUAUGCCCUCACCGCUCAGCCCCUGGGGCUGGCUUGGCAGACAGUACAGCAUCCAGGGGAGUCAAGGGCAUGGGGCGAGACCAGACUAGGCGAGGCGGGCGGGGCGGAGUGAAUGAGCUUUCAGGAGGGAGGCUGGUGCAGGCAGGGGUGAGGAGCGCAGCGGGCGGCGAGCGGGAGGCACUGGCCUCCAGAGCCCGUGGCCAAGGUGGGCCUCGCGGGCGGCGACGGAGCCGGGAUCGGUGCCUCAGCGUUCGGGCUGGAGACGAGGGUGACCAGGUCUCCAGCUGGGGUGGAUGUGCCCACCAGCUGCCGAAGGCCAGGACGCCAGGUCCGGUGGACGUGCCAAGCGGGACAUGACAUGGUCCGGUGUGACGGCGAGGACAGAGGAGGCGCGUCUGGCCUUCCUGAACACCUUAGGCUGGUGGGGCUGCGGCGAGAAGCGGGUCUGUUUCUUUACUUCCUCCACGGAGUCGGCACACUACGGCUGCCCUCUGGGCUCCCAGAACCCACAACAUGAAAGGUGCGGGGCUUCCUGCCACACCUGGGGUGGGGGGCACGCGAGAGGAGCUGAGUGGGACCUCACUCCUUCCCCAUCCACAGAAAUGGUGCUACCCAGCUCAAGCCUGGGCCUUUGAAUCCGGACACAAAACCCUCUAGCUUGGAAAGGAAUAUGCUGCACUUUACAACCACUGCACUACCUGACUCAGGAAUCGGCUCUGGAAGGUGAAGCUAGAGGAACGAGACCUCAUCAACCCAACACCAAAGACACCAUCGGAACAGCAGCGCCCGCAGCACCCACCCCCCACCGGCAACUCCAUCUUCAUGGCCACCCCCUGCGGCGGACGGUUGACCACCAGCCACCACGUCAUCCCAGAGCUGAGCUCCUCCAGCGGGAUGACCCCGUCCCCACCACCUCCCUCUUCUUCUUUUUCAUCCUUCUGUCUCUUUGUUUCUGAGCUUUCCUGUCUUUCCUUUUUCUGAGAGAUUCAAAGCCUCCACGACUCUGUUUCCCCCGUCCCUUCUGAAUUUAAUUUGCACUAAGUCAUUUGCACUGGUUGGAGUUGUGGAGACGGCCUUGAGUCUCGGUGUGAGUGUGCGUGAGUGUGAGCCACCUUGGCAAGUGCCCGCCCAGAGACCGGCCGCCCUCCAUCUGGGCCGGGUGACUGGGCGCCGGCUGUGUGCCCGAGGCCUCACCCUGCCCUCGCCUAGUCUGGAAGCUCCGACCGACAUCACGGAGCAGCCUUCAAGCAUUCCAUUACGCCCCAUCUCGCUCUGUGCCCCUC
rnacentral:lncRNA from 1 species